AUUGAACGCUGGCGGCAGGCUUAACACAUGCAAGUCGAGCGGAGCGGCGGACGGGUGAGUAAUGCCUAGGAAUCUGCCUGGUAGUGGGGGAUAACGUCCGGAAACGGGCGCUAAUACCGCAUACUAUCAGAUGAGCCUAGGUCGGAUUAGCUAGUUGGUGGGGUAAGGGCCUACCAAGGCGACGAUCCGUAACUGGUCUUAGAGGAUGAUCAGUCACACUGGAACGGGGACACGGACCGAACGCCAAGGGGAGGCCGAGGUGGGGAAUAUUGGACAAUGGGCGAAAGCCUGAUCCAGCCAUGCGGCGUGUGUGAAGAAGGUCUUCGGAUUUUAAAGCACUAUAAGUUGGGAGCCGUUACCAACAGAAUAAGCACCGGCUAACUUCGUGCCAGCCGCCGCGGUAAUAC
rnacentral:rRNA from 1 species